GACGAACGCUGGCGGCGUGCUUAACACAUGCAAGUCGAACGGAAAGGCCCUGCUUUUGUGGGGUGCUCGAGUGGCGAACGGGUGAGUAACACGUGAGUAACCUGCCCUUGACUUUGGGAUAACUUCAGGAAACUGGGGCUAAUACCGGAUAGGAGCUCCUGCUGCAUGGUGGGGGUUGGAAAGUUUCGGCGGUUGGGGAUGGACUCGCGGCUUAUCAGCUUGUUGGUGGGGUAGUGGCUUACCAAGGCUUUGACGGGUAGCCGGCCUGAGAGGGGGACCGGCCACAUUGGGACUGAGAUACGGCCCAGACUCCUACGGGAGGCAGCAGUGGGGAAUAUUGCACAAUGGGCGGAAGCCUGAUGCAGCAACGCCGCGUGCGGGAUGACGGCCUUCGGGUUGUAAACCGCUUUCGCCUGUGACGAAGCGUGGGUGACGGUAAUGGGUAAAGAAGCACCGGCUAACUACGUG
rnacentral:rRNA from 1 species